GCAUGCUUCUAUUUUUUAGCGCAUGCGCACUAAUUCGUUACUACAUUCAAGCGGGAGGGAAUGAGGCACUUUUCUCCCUGGCACAGAUUCAACCGGGCGGGAAUGGGGCACUUUGCUCCCUGAAAACAGGGAGCAAAAUACGUACUUUCCAUCCAGGUUAAGGAACUAGUACGCAUGCGCUAAAAAAUAGAAGCAUGCGCACUAAUUCGUUACUACAUUCAAGCGGGAGGGAAUGAGGCACUUUUCUCCCUGGCACAGAUUCAAGCGGGCGGGAAUGUGGCACUUUGCUCCCUGAAAACAGGGAGCAAAAUACGUACUUUCCAUCCAGGUGUGAGAAAAAG